CGACUCUCGGCAACGGAUAUCUCGGCUCUCGCAUCGAUGAAGAACGUAGCGAACUGCGAUACUUGGUGUGAAUUGCAGAAUCCCGUGAACCAUCGUGUCUUUGAACGCAAGUUGCGCCCGAAGCCGUUUGGCCGAGGGCACGUUUGCCUGGGUGUCACAC
rnacentral:rRNA from 1 species